GCCCGCUUAGCUCAGCUGGUAGAGCACUCGACCGAUAAUCGAGAUGUCGCAAGUUCAAGUCUUGCAGCAGGCACCA
rnacentral:tRNA from 1 species